rnacentral:rRNA from 1 species
CGCGUCCAAGUCCAUCUUGAAUGGGGCCACUUACCCGUAGAGGGUGCCAGGCCCGUAGCGACCGGGACGCGCCGUGGGAGGACCUCUCCUUAGAGUCGGGUUGCUUGAGAGUGCAGCUCUAAGUUGGUGGUAAACUCCAUCUAAGGCUAAAUAUGACCACGAGACCGAUAGCGAACAAGUACCGUGAGGGAAAGUUGAAAAGAACUUUGGAGAGAGAGUUCAAGAGUACGUGAAACCGUUCAGGGGUAAACCUGAGAAACCCAAAAGAUCGAAUGGGAGAUCAUCGUCAGCGGCGCUGGCUUCCGUGUGAAUGCGAUGGUCGGGACCUCGGUUCCGUGUCACGCGUUUGCUGCGGUAUGUCCGGCGUCGUCGGCGUGCACUUCUCCCCUAGUAGGACGUCGCGACCCGUUGGGUGCCGGCCUACGGCCCGAUUGGUCGACUGUCGCGUCUCGUUCACGCGUGCACGCGGCAGACCAUCGGUUGCCCGGCCGGCUGCCCGGCGGUAUAGAUCGCUAUAAAACGGUACUGGGCCGCAUUAAGUGCGUUCUGGCUCGUCGGCAGGCUCGUCUCGCUCGGAUUUACGGACCUAGCGCCGUUGCCGGGCGCUUGGCGUGGCCGUUAGUCGACGAUGUCCUCGGACUGGCUCUUACAUUCGAACGGAUUUACCGGUCGGCGACGCUACUGCUUUGGGUGCUUUCAGGACCCGUCUUGAAACACGGACCAAGGAGUCUAACAUGUGCGCGA